GACAGAGGGUGCAGACGUUGCUCGGAAUCACUGGGCGUAAAGGGCGUGUAGGCGGGAAUGUAAGUCGGGCGUGAAAUCCCUAGGCUCAACCUAGGAACUGCACUCGAAACUGCAGAGCUGGAGUCCUGGAGAGGAAGGCGGAAUUCUCGGUGUAGAGGUGAAAUUCGUAGAUAUCGAGAGGAACACCGGUGGCGAAGGCGGCCUUCUGGACAGUGACUGACGCUGAGACGCGAAAGCGUGGGGAGCAAACAGG
rnacentral:rRNA from 1 species